GGGCCCGUAGCUCAGUUUGGCAGAGCACCUGGCUCAUAACCAGGUGGUGGUGGGUUCAAAUCCCUCCGGGCCCA
rnacentral:tRNA from 1 species